AUGAACGCUGGCGGCGUGCCUAAUACAUGCAAGUCGCGCGAACGGACGAGAAGCUUGCUUCUCUGAUGUUAGCGGCGGACGGGUGAGUAACACGUGGAUAACCUACCUAUAAGACUGGGAUAACUUCGGGAAACCGGAGCUAAUACCGGAUAAUAUUUUGAACCGCAUGGUUCAAAAGUGAAAGACGGUCUUGCUGUCACUUAUAGAUGGAUCCUCGCUGCAUUAGCUAGUUGGUAAGGUAACGGCUUACCAAGGCAACGAUGCAUAGCCGACCUGAGAGGGUGAUCGGCCACACUGGAACUGAGACACGGUCCAGACUCCUACGGGAGGCAGCAGUAGGGAAUCUUCCGCAAUGGGCGAAAGCCUGACGGAGCAACGCCGCGUGAGUGAUGAAGGUCUUCGGAUCGUAAAACUCUGUUAUUAGGGAAGAACAUAUGUGUAAGUAACUGUGCACAUCUUGACGGUACCUAAUCAGAAAGCCACGGCUAACUACGUG
rnacentral:rRNA from 1 species